rnacentral:rRNA from 1 species
AUUGAACGCUGGCGGCAGGCCUAACACAUGCAAGUCGAGCGGAUGAAGGGAGCUUGCUCCUGGAUUCAGCGGCGGACGGGUGAGUAAUGCCUAGGAAUCUGCCUGGUAGUGGGGGAUAACGUCCGGAAACGGGCGCUAAUACCGCAUACGUCCUGAGGGAGAAAGUGGGGGAUCUUCGGACCUCACGCUAUCAGAUGAGCCUAGGUCGGAUUAGCUAGUUGGUGGGGUAAAGGCCUACCAAGGCGACGAUCCGUAACUGGUCUGAGAGGAUGAUCAGUCACACUGGAACUGAGACACGGUCCAGACUCCUACGGGAGGCAGCAGUGGGGAAUAUUGGACAAUGGGCGAAAGCCUGAUCCAGCCAUGCCGCGUGUGUGAAGAAGGUCUUCGGAUUGUAAACCACUUUUAGUUGGGAGGAAGAGCAGUAAGUUAAUACCUUGCUGUUUUGACGUUACCAACAGAAUAAGCACCGGCUAACUUCGUG